UACGUAGGGCGCAAGCGUUAUCCGGAAUUAUUGGGCGUAAAGAGCUCGUAGGCGGUUUGUCGCGUCUGCCGUGAAAGUCCGGGGCUCAACUCCGGAUCUGCGGUGGGUACGGGCAGACUAGAGUGAUGUAGGGGAGACUGGAAUUCCUGGUGUAGCGGUGAAAUGCGCAGAUAUCAGGAGGAACACCGAUGGCGAAGGCAGGUCUCUGGGCAUUACUGACGCUGAGGAGCGAAAGCGUGGGGAGCGAACAGG
rnacentral:rRNA from 1 species